UGGCUCAGUGGUAGAGCUCUUGCCUUGCAUGCAUGAGGCCUUGGGUUUGAUUCCUCA
rnacentral:tRNA from 1 species